rnacentral:rRNA from 1 species
GAUGAACGCUGGCGGCGUGCCUAAUACAUGCAAGUCGAGCGAACGGACGAGAAGCUUGCUUCUCUGAUGUUAGCGGCGGACGGGUGAGUAACACGUGGAUAACCUACCUAUAAGACUUGGAUAACUUCGGGAAACCGGAGCUAAUACCGGAUAAUAUUUUGAACCGCAUGGUUCAAAAGUAAAAGACGGUCUUGCUGUCACUUAUAGAUGGAUCCGCGCUGCAUUAGCUAGUUGGUAAGGUAACGGCUUACCAAGGCAACGAUGCAUAGCCGACCUGAGAGGGUGAUCGGCCACACUGGAACUGAGACACGGUCCAGACUCCUACGGGAGGCAGCAGUAGGGAAUCUUCCGCAGUGGGCGAAAGCCUGACGGAGCAACGCCGCGUGAGUGAUGAAGGUCUUCGGAUCGUAAAACUCUGUUAUUAGGGAAGAACAUAUGUGUAAGUAACUGUGCACAUCUUGACGGUACCUAAUCAGAAAGCCACGGCUAACUACGUG